CUGGGAUUUUGUGUUUGCUGGGAGCUGAGAGUGAGGAGCACCAGCUAAACAGUUAGGGACACCUCCAAUGGAGGGAGGCUGCCCUGUGAGGGAGGGCAGCUUCAGAUCCAAAGGACUGGAGAACAGGAAUGAGGCUGGGCAGCUGCCCACACGUUUCCAGGGUAAACCACAGGGUACUGGCCAGAAUCAGGCCCAGCCCAGGACAAUGCACGGAGUCUUGUACGACUGAAGCAUAGUGAGUUCAUUAAAACUGGAGGCUUGGCAGUGCAGAGGAAAAUGAAGGCAGGUUGGCUUUCCUCCUCCUAGUAAUACCCCUAGAGAAGGUGAUCUCAGUAUCGUGCUCCGCACCUCUUCGGGAGAUUGGGGGUAAACUGCCUGUGGUCAUUCAGCGAGAACACAACUCCAUUCAUAUGUCCUGCGUCCUUAACAGAUCCCAAGAGUAAAGGAGUCAAACCAAAAACGGAGCAGCUGAAGAGGCUGAGGGUAGAGGCCGACUCAGGCCUUUUAAUAAAUGCUUCUGGAGACACUCAACGAGUCUCCCUCCCAUGCACCGCAUCGUUAGCUGACUGGGACCAGUUACAGAAUGUUUAUGCGUGCUCCAUUGUCUCUGGAAGACCCUUCCAAUUACUGUCAGCCCAGCCCUCCCAGAAGCAGGCUCUCCCCCAAAGCCUCUCCAUUCUUCAAGGAGAUACAGUCAGGGAUGCUCCCAUCACUUUAAGUUCUGCCAAGGGUUCUACCCAGUGUUCUCACAUCCUCACAACAUCCCUGUUAGGUAAGUGCUAUUAUUACAAAUGAGGAAACAGAGACUGAGAGAGAUCAAGUGA